CAUUAGAUGGCUGAAAUUUAAGCAUUGGUCUCUUAAACCAUUUUAUAGUAAAUUACUUCUAAUGA
rnacentral:tRNA from 1 species